rnacentral:tRNA from 1 species
GCGGGGCCGAAUGGUAGAGGCAGCGGAUGCAAACUCCAGUUCCGAAAGGAGUGUCGGUUCGAGCCCGACCACCCGCA